rnacentral:misc_RNA from 1 species
GAUGAAGAACGUAGCGAAAUGCGAUAAGUAAUGUGAAUUGCAGAAUUCAGUGAAUCAUCGAAUCUUUGAACGCACAUUGCACUCAUUAGUAUUCUAGUGAGUAUGCCUGUUCGAGCGUCAUUUCAACCCUUAAGCCUAGCUUAGUGUUGGGACUCUACCCUAACCGGUAGUUCCCCAAAAUCAGUUGGCGGAGUUCAGUCGGCUCUGAGUGUAGUAAUUUUCUCUCGCUUUAGAAGUCUUCUGGAUUACGGCCAGAAAGAGACGAGUCUCGCAUCUCGGUGCGUUUCUCAACUUUUUUUUACAAUGGUUGACCUCGGAUCAGGUAGGAAUACCCGCUGAACUUAAGCAUAUCAUAGCGGAGGA